rnacentral:rRNA from 1 species
UACAGAGGGUGCAAGCGUUGUUCGGAAUUAUUGGGCGUAAAGAGCGCGCAGGCGGCUUGGUAAGUCGGAUGUGAAAUCCCGAGGCUCAACCUCGGGUCUGCAUCCGAUACUGCCCGGCUAGAGGUAGGUAGGGGAGAUCGGAAUUCCUGGUGUGAGCGGUGAAAUGCGCAGAUAUCAGGAGGAACACCGGUGGCGAAGGCGGAUCUCUGGGCCUUACCUGACGCUCAGGCGCGAAAGCUAGGGGAGCGAACUGG